rnacentral:tRNA from 1 species
GGGUUGCUAACUCAACGGUAGAGUACUCGGCUUUUAACCGACUAGUUCCGGGUUCGAGCCCCGGGCAACCCAUAUGAAUUAU